CUUUGGGACACAGACUGGCUUCCUUGCUCUUCAGCUUACAGAUGGCCUGUCAUGGGACCUCACCUUGUGAUCCCUAGACUCUACUGGGUACUUCAGAGAUCCCCAAACACUGGUCAUCUGUGACCUGAAGUUCCACACAAGUGCAUCUCUAUUAACCAUGCUGACCAGUUGUUUCUCAUCCUCCAUGUUGCUCCUCCAGAUUUUUGGCUCAACAAAAAUACCCUCGUUGUUUUGUGGUUCUAUCCAUAUGCUUUUUCUGACAGUUUUACUUACUUCUUUUAGGAAUGCUGCACUUAUCUUGUCCAUUACCCCUUCUUCAAGUGUUUAUAUAUAUCUCAACCAACUCUUUCACAAUAUUUGUUGAUGUGGCCACCUGAAAAAAAAAAACUCUCCAUGUAGUGGAAAGUUUACUAAAUCUGGGAGCAGUUUACCCCAUUGCUUGACUCUGAAUUCUGAUAUAAAAUUCUUCAUAUUAGGCAAAACUCUUUAUACUUAUAGUUUUUCUAAAUUGAUUCUGGUUUUCUUUUUGAAGCCUCUUCCAUGUAAGAUGCCUUUGAAUAUUUUUAGAUAUUUAUUAUGCCAUUUCAAGUCUUCUCUUCUUCAUUAAAGAGAAACAUCCUUAGUUCAAAGUAGUUUGAUGCUGGCCCACCCAGCUGGCCUCCACCUCCUUCAACAGCACCAUCAAAAGUACUCCUUCUAUAGCACUUCCAGUCCAGAGUUCUGGCCUCUAUUGAAAUACUGAUUUGCUGGUCUGUUCAUCUAGAGUCUAACUCCCUGAAUAGCAAAUGUGCUGGAUAGGCUACUUCCUAAGACCAGAGAAUCCUACUCCUGACAUCAGGGACCUGCAUUUAUCAAUGAUAAACCCACCAUAUAUCCCGUUCCUGUGAAAACUAUAUACCUUUCCCCAUGUUAUCCUAAUUGCACUGCACGAUGCUGGCAUCUGCUGAUCCAGCUGCCGACCAUCUCUCUCCCUUUCAAAACUGCACAAUUCCUCUGGAACUUCAUUUCGUAUUAAAUAUAACCCCAUAGAUACUCAAACUUUUUAGUAAACAUUCCAUACACUUUAUUUCAUUAGCUGAAAACUGCUUCCUUUCCUGUUUACACCUCCCUAAAAGCUGACAUGAUUCCAUCAUGUAUUGUCCAAACUGGGAUAUUUUUUAGAGUAAAUAGAUAAAACCAUUAGUAAUUACAAUAUGAGAUUAGGGGUAAACUGGGACUGGGACUGCCCUGAACAAACCAGGAUGUAUGUCCAUAAUAGUUUCCUGGGGCUGCCAUAAGAAAUGACCAUAAAUGAGUGGUUCAAGGUAACAGAAAUGUAUUCACAUAUAGUUGAGGAAACUAGAAGUCUGCAGUCAAGAUGUCAGCAGGUUUCCUUCCUUUCAGAGGCUCUGAGGGAGAAGAAAUCUCAUGUUUCUCUCCUAGCUUCUUGUGGUUGCCAACAAUUCUUUGCUGUACCUUGACUUUUAGAUACAUCACUCCGAUCUCUGCCCAUAUUGUCACAUUGCCUACUUAACUGUGUCACUCUCUUCUCCUACUCUAUCUCUUGUUAGGGCUUACACUAAAUGUCAGAGUCAUUUUAAUCCCAUAUGAUCUUACCUUGAUCUUUAAUUACAUCUGCCAAGAGCCUUAGUCCAAAUAAGGUUACAUUGUGAAGUUCAGGUCGGAAUGGAUUUUUGAGGGACAUAGUUCAACACACCACAAUGGUCAAACUACCUACAGGAUGAUGGUUCUUCUCCCACAGUCCAUAGCUUUUGGAGUUGUGAGGUGCAGUUAACACAUUCUCUCCCCGUGCCAUUUCUACAUUAUUCCUUCAUCUUGUAUUAAAAUAUCCCUCUUGAUACUCAUGUCAGUUGGUUAAAUCAUAUUCCUUUUUUUUUGUUUCAAUCUCAGUCAAGUCCCUUCUUUUAUCAAAACCUAUUUAAGUUCAACAUUCAUAUGAAUAAAGCCUAAUAUCCCCAAAAAGUCAUUCACUUGAUAGUCUCUAUUCCAUCGACCUUUACCCCAACUCUGUUUCAGGUUUCUAUUCCGUGACUCAUAUUAUAGAUAGUAAAUUAUAAAAAUAUCCAUUUCAAAAAUGGUUAAAUGUCAGACAUUUCAUACAGUUUAACAAAAUAGAAUUUGUUCUCAAUUCUCUGCCUGAUAUGGCUUGGAUCUGCGUCCCCACCCAAAUCUCAUGUCAAAUUGUAAUCCCCAUUGUUGGAGGUGGGGCCUGAUGGGAGGUGAUUGGAUCAUGGGGGCAGUUUCUCAUUAAUGGUUUAGUACCAUCUCCUUGGUACUGUCCUCACAAUGGUGAGUUCUCACAUGAUCUGGUCAUUUAAAAGUAUGUAGCAACUCCCCCCUCUAACUCGCUCCCACUCCCACCAUGUGAGAGGCCUCUCUCCCGCUUUGCCUUCCACCAUAAUUGGAAGCUUCCUGAGGCCUGCCCAAAAGUAGAAGCCACUAUGCUUCCCAUACAGCCUGCAGAACCAUUAGCCAAUUAAACCUCUUUUCUUUCUAAAUUACCCAGUUAUAGGUAUUUCUUUUUAUCAGUGCAAGAAAGGACUAAUAACAAAGGACUAAUAACUUUACAGCAGUGCAAGAAGGACUGAUAACUGCCUCAUUGUCCUUCUGUCUUACUUUCCCCAAAACAUCUCAAUCCUCUGUCAAACUAAUUGUCCCUUUUCUCUUGUCUCACACAUGGUGUCUGUGGAAAAUCCUACACUAAGGCAGAUUGUUGCUACUUCAUUUUGGUUUCCAUAAAUUAUUGUGUUAGUGUUGCCUAGAGCUCUUCUUAGUCAUCUCUUGACUGGUUCUUCACAGCGACUAUUUCAAACCUUCUCCACUCUGUUCCAAGUUCCUACUUCCCACAUCAUCCUUCACACUCAUCAUGCUACCUGUCCUCCUACUUUAUAAAGGAAAACAAAGCCAACAGAUGGAAAAUUUCUUCAUUUUCUGACGUUCUAUUUUAACAUUUUGCUGCAUUUACAUCUUAUUUUAUCAUUUCCAUCCUACCACAAUGGUAUAAAAUAUCCCCACUUUUAAUUUUAGAAUAGUUUCUCUGCUUCAAUUUUGCAUACCAUCCGUUUAUCUUCAAGGAUACUCCUCCACUGAUUAUUUCCUGUGUACCACUCUCUUAUAGCUCCUACUUCAAGAAGCACUCCUAUCAAAUAUUGAAAAAGCACUUACUAUAUUUUAGGUAACAUGUAAAACUCUGUGAAAUUAAUAAUGAACAAGAUAUUCACUGCCACUGCCUUCAUGAAACUUAUAAUCCGUUUAACAAGAGACUAAUUCAACAGACUACAUUUUGUUUUCUUUUUUUUUUUUUUGAGACAGAGCCUCUCUCUGUCACCCAGACUGGAGUGCAGUGGCAUGAUCUCAGUGGCUCACUGCAACCUCUGCUUUCCAGGUUUAAGUGAUUCUCCUGCCUCAGCCUCCCAAGUAGCUAGGAUUACAGGCGCCUGCCACCAUGCCCAGCUAAUUGUAUUUUUAAUUGUAAUUUGUAUAUUUAGUAGAGACGGGGUUUCACCAUGAUGAUCUCGAACCCCAACCUCAAGUGAUCCACCUGCCUUGGCCUCCCUCCCAAAGUGCUGGGAUUACAGACGUGAGCCACUGCACCCAGCCAACAGACUAUAUUUUCUAUUCAUCAAAUAUUUUCUCCCAUUUGUCUUUUAACUCUGAUUUAGUAUUUUGUCAUACAAAAAUAUUCUUGUCUUAAUUUGAUUUGUGUUCUAUUUUUACAUAGUCAAAGUUUUCUUUCUUUAAUUGCAUGUAGAUUUGCGACAUAGUUAAAAAGACUUUUCUAACAUCCAGGCUGUAGAGUAAUUCUCCACAUUUUCUUCUAGUACUUUCAUGGUUCCUUUUUUUCACAAUUAUAUUUUCUGAUAAUUUUGAGUUUAUUCUUUGUAUGGUAAGGUAUCAAACUAUUUUUUUUCCUACCCAAUGAAUAUCCAGUUGAUACAACCCCAUUUCUUAAAAGGUCUAUCUUUGCAGCUGUAAUUUUUGAUACUAUCUAACUUUAUCAAUUACUAAAUUUUCACCUGUAGUUUAUUACUAGACUUUCUAUUCUAUUCCACCGGUCAAUCUGCCUUCUUAGGUACCAGUUCCAUGCUAUUUAGAGAGGCUUUGUAGCUUGUUUUAAUAUGUGCAGCUAUUCCUCUCUCAUAUCUUUUUCAGUGCCUUCUUAGCUAUUCCUGAAUGAUGACUUUUAAAAAUCAACUUGUGCAGAUUAAAAAACUGAUGAUAUUUUUGUUGGGAUUAAAUUAAAUCUAUUAAUUAACUUAGGGGGAGAACUCACAUCUGCAUAAUUUUGAAU
rnacentral:lncRNA from 10 species